rnacentral:rRNA from 1 species
AACGAACGCUGGCGGCAUGCCUAACACAUGCCAGUCGAACGAGACCUUCGGGUCUAGGGGCGCACGGGUGCGUAACGCGUGGGAACCUGCCCGUAGGUUCGGAAUAACUCCCCGAAAGGGGUGCUAAUACCGGAUAAUGUCUUCGGACCAAAGAUUUAUCGCCUUUGGAUGGGCCCGCGUUGGCUUAGCUAGUUGGUAGGGUAAAAGCCUACCAAGGCGACGAUCCAUAGCUGGUCUGAGAGGAUGAUCAGCCACACUGGGACUGAGACACGGCCCAGACUCCUACGGGAGGCAGCAGUGGGGAAUAUUGGACAAUGGGCGAAAGCCUGAUCCAGCAAUGCCGCGUGAGUGAUGAAGGCCUUAGGGUUGUAAAGCUCUUUUACCCGGGAUGAUAAUGACAGUACCGGGAGAAUAAGCUCCGGCUAACUCCGUG